CGCACCUUGCGCCCCAUGGUAUUCCGUGGGGCACGCCUGUUUGAGUGUCACGUUAAUCCUCGUGUCAGAGAUGUCACAGUCUCUGGGACGGACUUGGACGCUGCCGUCGUUGGCUCGUCUCGAAAUGCAUUAGCUGUCUGACCUGUAAAGCUACUGGUGUAAUACUUGUGUUGCGCCGCCGGUUUGCAAUGAAGAUGGCUCAUAAACCGCCCUCGCGGGCAACUUUUGUGACUUUGGCCUCAAAUCAGGUGGGACUACCCGCUGAACUUAA
rnacentral:misc_RNA from 1 species